rnacentral:rRNA from 1 species
CCUACGGGAGACAGCAGUGAGGAAUAUUGGUCAAUGGGCUCGAGCCUGAACCAGCCAAGUAGCGUGAAGGAUGACUGCCCUAUGGGUUGUAAACUUCUUUUAUACAGGAAUAAAGCGAGGUACGUGUGCCUUUUUGUAUGUACUUUAUGAAUAAGGAUCGGCUAACCCCGUUCCAGCAGCCGCGGUAAUACGGAGGAUCCGAGCGUUAUCCGGAGUUAUUGGGUUUAAAGGGAGCGUAGGUGGGUUGUUAAGUUAGUUGUGAAAGUUUCGGGCUCAACCCUAAAAUUGCAGUUGAUACUGGCGGUCUUGAGUAGGGUAGAGGUAGGCGGAAUGCGUGGUGUAGCGGUGAAAUGCUUAGAUAUCACGAAGAACUCCGAUUGCGAAGGCAGCAUACUAAACUGCAACUGACAUUGAUGCACGAAAGUGUGGGUAUCAAACAGGAUUAGAUACACGAGUAGUC